GUCUGCACUUGUCGGGGAAGGGUGAGAACCUUCGAUUAAGGUUCGACUCGAGCGAAAGCGAGAGAACGUUGCCAACGGCAACGGCCCGUAGGGUGAGG
rnacentral:sRNA from 1 species